rnacentral:rRNA from 1 species
AAAUUGAAGAGUUUGAUCAUGGCUCAGAUUGAACGCUGGCGGCAGGCCUAACACAUGCAAGUCGAACGGUAACAGGAAGAAGCUUGCUUCUUUGCUGACGAGUGGCGGACGGGUGAGUAAUGUCUGGGAAGCUGCCUGAUGGAGGGGGAUAACUACUGGAAACGGUAGCUAAUACCGCAUAACGUCGCAAGACCAAAGAGGGGGACCUUCGGGCCUCUUGCCAUCGGAUGUGCCCAGAUGGGAUUAGCUAGUAGGUGGGGUAACGGCUCACC